rnacentral:sRNA from 1 species
GAAGGUGAGCCAGGAAGAGGAAGAAAGAGAGGAUCUCAGAAAUGUAGGAAUGAGAACAUGAAGGAAAGUCUAAGAGCUAAUGUCUCCUCUACAUUGGAGGUCGAGACUUAGUUUCAUGUUUUCCUGAUGCCUCUCAUUCCUAUGGUUCUAGGGUGCUCCUUCCUCUUCCUUUUGGCUUGCAGUCUACUUGAGCAAAGAAAAUAGAACAACAUCUGUGUAUUGAUUUUGAUUGCAGGCUUCGAUAAUUUUAUAGCAAGUAAGGAAGAGGAAGAAAUUGAGUGUCUAAGGGCAAUCGGAAUGGGAACAUUGAGGAAAGCCUACAGCGUCUUUCUCGUCCACUAGAAGUGGGGGGUAAAGAUAAUGUUUUUGUGUUUUCCUAGUGCCUCCCAUUCCUAUUGUCCUUAGAUACUCCUUCCUCUUCCUUUCAGCUUGCA